rnacentral:rRNA from 1 species
GGCCUCGCGCGAUUGGAGCGGCUGAUGUCGGAUUAGCUAGUUGGUGGGGUAAAGGCCUACCAAGGCGACNAUCCGUAGCUGGUCUGAGAGGAUGAUCAGCCACACUGGGACUGAGACACGGCCCAGACUCCUACGGGAGGCAGCAGUGGGGAAUUUUGGACAAUGGGCGCAAGCCUGAUCCAGCCAUGCCGCGUGAGUGAAGAAGGCCUUCGGGUUGUAAAGCUCUUUCAGACGGAAAGAAAUCGGGCGCGUGAAUAGCGUGCCUGGAUGACGGUACUGUCAGAAGAAGCACCGGCUAACUACGUG